AUUGAACGCUGGCGGCAUGCCUUACACAUGCAAGUCGAACGGCAGCACGGACUUCGGUCUGGUGGCGAGUGGCGAACGGGUGAGUAAUGUAUCGGAACGUACCUUUCAGUGGGGGAUAACGUAGCGAAAGUUACGCUAAUACCGCAUAUUCUGUGAGCAGGAAAGCAGGGGAUCGCAAGACCUUGCGCUGAUUGAGCGGCCGAUAUCAGAUUAGCUAGUUGGUGGGGUAAAGGCCUACCAAGGCUACGAUCUGUAGCGGGUCUGAGAGGAUGAUCCGCCACACUGGAACUGAGACACGGUCCAGACUCCUACGGGAGGCAGCAGUGGGGAGUUUUGGACAAUGGGGGCAACCCUGAUCCAGCCAUGCCGCGUGAGUGAAGAAGGCCUUCGGGUUGUAAAGCUCUUUCGGCCGGGAAGAAAUCGCAUAGGCUAAUACCCUGUGUGGAUGACGGUACCGGAAUAAGAAGCACCGGCUAACUACGUGCCAGCAGCCGCCGUAACAC
rnacentral:rRNA from 1 species